rnacentral:misc_RNA from 1 species
GCCUCCGAAGAAGAAAACAAAAACAAAUACUGAUCAGUCAACGAAACAAGGAAAGGUGGAUGCUUCUCCAUUGAGGGGUGGUGGAGUUUCCUCCAGAAAAUCCAAGAGUGCAGCAACGAAGUCUGGACGAAAAUCAAAGGAAGUGGAUAAAAUGGAUGGCAAAUCAAUGGAUGAUUCAAAAACUGUUAAAAAAGCCGAGGAUGAUAAUGCUGCCAUAAUUAAAAGUGGAAGUAAAUCUGCUGAUGUUACUUCAAAAACAGGCAGCAAAUCAAAGAAUGAUGACAUCACGCCAUCCAAGACUGGAAAGUCCAAAGAGGAAGAGAUGAGGACACCCAAAGCCUCCAAGUCCAAGCAAGAAACCGUGAAGUCUGGCAAAUCCAAGCAAGAUACCCCAAAGAUUAGCUCUAAUGCCAAGGGUAAAUCCCC